AAAAAGAUAAGCUAAACAAGCUACCGGGCUCAUACCUCGUUUAUGAAUAAACUCUCUUUUGA
rnacentral:tRNA from 1 species